UACGUAGGGCGCAAGCGUUGUCCGGAAUUAUUGGGCGUAAAGAGCUCGUAGGCGGUUUGUCGCGUCUGCUGUGAAAACUCGAGGCUCAACCUCGGGCUUGCAGUGGGUACGGGCAGACUAGAGUGCGGUAGGGGUGACUGGAAUUCCUGGUGUAGCGGUGGAAUGCGCAGAUAUCAGGAGGAACACCGAUGGCGAAGGCAGGUCACUGGGCCGCAACUGACGCUGAGGAGCGAAAGCAUGGGGAGCGAAC
rnacentral:rRNA from 1 species